rnacentral:rRNA from 1 species
UACGUAGGGGGGCUAGCGUUGUCCGGAUUUAUUGGGCGUAAAGAGCGUGUAGGCGGCCAUGUAGGUCCGGUGUGAAAACUCGAGGCUUAACCUCGAGAUGUCAUCGGAAACCAUUUGGCUAGAGUCCGGAAGAGGAGAGUGGAAUUCCUGGUGUAGCGGUGAAAUGCGCAGAGUAUCAGGAGGAACACCGGUGGCGAAGGCGGUCUCUGGGCUACUGACCUGACGCUCAGGCGCGGAAAGCUAGGGGAGCGAACAGG